rnacentral:lncRNA from 1 species
GAUCCUUGACAAAGUUCGAAAGAGGUUCGGAGUAGAGAUCCGGCUGCUGGAGCCUGUCUAUUGUAGAAGUUCAUCUGGAAUCCAUCCGCUAUGGAAGUUUGGACGGAGUUCGAUUCUUGUAAAAGUCCAAAUGGAGACCGCUUAUUGUAGAGGCUCGGCUGAAGUCCGCCUGCAAUAGAAGUUCGAAAAGAAUUCAUUUACAGUAGAGGUCCAG